AUUUUAUAAAUUUAUUUUUUUGUUAUUUUGAAGAAUUAAAUUAUUAACUAUAAUUGAGUUUAUUUGGUUGGGGUGAUUGGAAAAUUAAAUUAACUUUUCUUUAUUUAUUAUCAUUAAUUUAUGUUUUAUUGAUCCAAUAAUUUUGAUUAAAAGAUUAAAU
rnacentral:rRNA from 1 species